rnacentral:rRNA from 1 species
CCUACGGGAGGCAGCAGUGGGGAAUCUUGCGCAAUGGGCGAAAGCCUGACGCAGCGACGCCGCGUGAGCGAUGAAGGCCUUCGGGUUGUAAAGCUCUGUGGGGAGGAAAGAAUAAGGUUUGGCUAAUAUCCAAACUGAUGACGGUACCUCCUUAGCAAGCACCGGCUAACUCUGUGCCAGCAGCCGCGGUAAU